rnacentral:rRNA from 1 species
GGUUGACCUCGGAUCAGGGUAGGAGUUACCCGCUGAACUUAAGCAUAUCAAUAAGCGGAGGAA